GUCGAGAAUCUUCCGCAAUGGGCGCAAGCCUGACGGAGCAAUGCUGCGUGCCGGAUGAAGGCCUUCGGGUCGUAAACGGCUGUCACUCGGGACGAAUUUUGACGGUACCGAGAGAGGAAGCCACGGCUAACUACGUGCCAGCAGCCGCGGUAAUACGUAGGUGGCGAGCGUUAUUCGGAAUUAUUGGGCCUAGAGGGUUCGUAGGGGGUAAUGUAAGUCCGGCGUGAAAUCUCGAGGCUCAACCUCGAAACUGCAUUGGAAACUGCGUUACUUGAGUGUCAGAGAGGAAAGCGGAAUUCCUGGUGUAGCGGUGGAAUGCGUAGAUAUCAGGAAGAACACCGACGGCGAAGGCAGCUUUCUGGCUGACAACUGACCCUGAUGAACGAAAGCUAGGGUAGCGAACAGGAUUAGAUACCCUGGUAGUCCUAGCUGUAAACGUUGUGCACUGGAUGUGGGCGGAUUUGGUCCCGUCUGUGUCUGAGCGAAGGCGUUAAGUGCACCGCCUGGGGACUACGGCCGCAAGGCUAAAACUCAAAGGAAUUGACGGGGGCCCGCACAAGCGGUGGAGCAUGUGGCUCAAUUCGAGGCAACGCGAAGAACCUUACCUGGGUUUGACAUAUACCUGACCGCCGGUGAGAGCCGGUUUCUCUUUGAGCAGGUAUACAGGUGCUGCAUGGCUGUCGACAGCUCGUGCUGUGAAGUGUUCGGUUAAGUCCGGCAACGAGCGCAACCCACGCUGUUAGUUACCAUCAGGUGAAGCUGGGGACUCUAACAGGACUGCCCGUGCUAAGCGGGAGGAAGGCGUGGACGACGUCAAGUCCGCAUGGCCCGAACGCCCAGGGCUGCACACGUGCUACAAUGGCCGGUACAGAGGGUCGCCACUCUGCGAAGAGGAGCUAAUCCCGAAAACCGGCCCCAGUUCGGAUUGGAGUCUGCAAUUCGACUCCAUGAAGUAGGAAUCGCUAGUAAAGGCGUAUCAGCAACGGCGCCUUGAAUCUGUUCCCGGGCAUUGUACACACCGCCCGUCACAUCAUGGAAGCCGGCUGCACCCGAAGUCGCGUUCCGUUUUCGGAAGGCGCCGAAGGUGUGGCUGGUAACUGGGAUGAAG
rnacentral:rRNA from 1 species